GACGAACGCUGGCGGCGUGCUUAACACAUGCAAGUCGAGCGGUAAGGCCCUUUCGGGGGUACACGAGCGGCGAACGGGUGAGUAACACGUGGGUGACCUGCCCUCAGCUCUGGGACUAAGCCUGGGAAACUGGGUCUAAUACUGGAUAUGACUCCACGGUGCAUGUCGUGGGGUGGAAAGCCUUGUGCGGCUGAGGAUGGGCCCGCGGCCUAUCAGCUUGUUGGUGGGGUGANGGCCUACCAAGGCGACGACGGGUAGCCGGCCUGAGAGGGCGACCGGCCACACUGGGACUGAGACACGGGCCCAGACUCCUACGGGAGGCAGCAGUGGGGAAUCUUGCGCAAUGGGCGAAAGCCUGACGCAGCGACGCCGCGU
rnacentral:rRNA from 1 species